CGGGCUGUAGCGUAGCCUGGUAGCGCACUUGCAUGGGGUGCAAGGGGUCGAGAGUUCAAAUCUCUCCAGCCCGACCA
rnacentral:tRNA from 1 species